ACAAAAUAUUUUUAAAUGGUUUUAAAAUAUUUACAAGGGAUUUUAAAAGGUUAUAAAAAGAUUUACAAGAGUUUUUAAAGGGUCUUCUAGUAAAUUCUUUUAAAAAAUUUAAAAAACCCUUGUACAUCUUUUAAAACCUUUAAAAAUCUCUUGUAAAUCUUUUAAAACUCUUUUAAAAUCCCUUGUAAAUCUUUUAAAACACUUUUAAACCCUUUAAAAAUCUUUAAAAAAACCUUUGUAAAUCUUUGAAAGCCCUUUAAAAUUCCUUGUAAAUAUUUUAAAACCCUUUUAAAAUCCCUUGUAAAUCUUUUAAAACCCUUUUAAAAUCUCUUGUAAAUAUUUUAAAACCCUUUUAAAACAAUUUUAAACCCUUUUAAAAUGUUUAAAUU
rnacentral:sRNA from 1 species